UUGGUAAGGUAACGGCUUACCAAGGCGACGAUCAGUAGCCGACCUGAGAGGGUGACCGGCCACAUUGGGACUGAGACACGGUCCAAACUCCUACGGGAGGCAGCAGUGGGGAAUAUUGCACAAUGGGCGAAAGCCUGAUGCAGCAACGCCGCGUGAAGGAAGAAGUAUCUCGGUAUGUAAACUUCUAUCAGCAGGGAAGAAAAUGACGGUACCUGACUAAGAAGCCCCGGCUAACUAC
rnacentral:rRNA from 1 species